AGGGCACCACCAGGAGUGGAGCCUGCGGCUUAAUUUGACUCAACACGGGAAAACUCACCCGGCCCGGACACCGUAAGGAUUGACAGAUUGAGAGCUCUUUCUUGAUUCGGUGGUUGGUGGUGCAUGGCCGUUCUUAGUUGGUGGAGCGAUUUGUCUGGUUUAUUCCGAUAACGAACGAGACUCUGGCCUACUAAAUAGUGACAGGAUUAUUACUGUCUUGGAUACUUCUUAGAGGGAUAAGUGGUUUUCAGCCACACGAAAUUGAGCAAUAACAGGCCUGUGAUGCCCUUAGAUGUCCGGGGCUGCACGCGCGCUACACUGAAGGAAUCAGCGUGCUAAAGCCAUUGUCGAAAGGCAUUGGUAAACCCAUUAAAAUCCUACGUGAUUGGGAUCGGGAAUUGCAAUUAUUUCCCUUGAACGAGGAAUUCCCAGUAAGUGUGGGUCAUAAGCUCGCGUUGAUUACGUCCCUGCCCUUUGUACACACCGCCCGUCGCUGCCCGGGACCGAGCCGUUCCGAGA
rnacentral:rRNA from 1 species